UCUCGACUAGUAUAUCGGUUUAGUACACGCGCCUGUCAUUGCGUUAUGUAAUGUUCCGCGCGAAAGCUGGGUUCGACUCCCAGGUCGAGAG